AUGGCUGGCAAGUACAUCGUCGCCGGCCUCGUCGGCUCCUGUGUCAUCUCGUACGCCUGCGACUACAUUGUUUCUCAGAAGAAGAUCUUCGGUGGCACCAUCCCAGGGACUGUGUCCGACAAGGAGUGGUUGAAGGCGACGGAGCAGAGGUUCCAGGCCUGGCCUCGCGUCGCCGGCCCGCCGGUCAUCAUGAACCCCAUCAGCCGCCAGAACUUCAUCGUCAAGGACCUCAACCCCUGA
rnacentral:rRNA from 1 species